rnacentral:lncRNA from 1 species
GUGGACUCGAUAUCCAACUCACACUAUUCUACUCAAUAGUUGAAUCAGAGUUUAUUUUUAUCUUUGAUUGCUCGUGACAAGCGAUCAUUUAUUUAUCAACCAUAACAUCAAUAAAAUACAUGAUCAAGAUCCUUUAAAAAUAAAUAAAUAAAAAUUAUAAAUUCUUUAUAGAAUCCAUGAAUAGAUCCAGAUCGAUCACAAGCAACUG